GACGAACGCUGGCGGCGUGCUUAACACAUGCAAGUCGAACGGAAAGGCCCUGCUUUUGUAGGGUGCUCGAGUGGCGAACGGGUGAGUAACACGUGAGUAACCUGCCCUUGACUUUGGGAUAACUUCAGGAAGCUGGGGCUAAUACCGGAUAGGAGCUCCUGCUGCAGGGUGGGGGUUGGAAAGUUUCGGCGGUUGGGGAUGGACUCGCGGCUUAUCAGCUUGUUGGUGGGGUAGUGGCUUACCAAGGCUUUGACGGGUAGCCGGCCUGAGAGGGUGACCGGCCACAUUGGGACUGAGAUACGGCCCAGACUCCUACGGGAGGCAGCGGUGGGGAAUAUUGCACAAUGGGCGGAAGCCUGAUGCAGCAACGCCGCGUGCGGGAUGACGGCCUUCGGGUUGUAAACCGCUUUCGCCUGUGACGAAGCGUGAGUGACGGUAAUGGGUAAAGAAGCACCGGCUAACUACGUG
rnacentral:rRNA from 1 species